AGUCACUGACAUUAGAUACCCCGGUAGUCCAGGGUGUAAACGCUGCAGGCUAGGUGUUUGGACGGCCACGUGCCGUUCUAGUGCCGCAGGGAAGCUGUUAAGCCUGCCGCCUGGGAGUACGAUCGCAAGAUUGAAACUUAAAGGAAUUGGCGGGGGAGCACCACAAGGGGUGAAGCUUGCGGUUUAAUUGGAGUCAACGCCGGAAAUCUCACCGGGAGCGACAGCAGUGUGAAGGCCAGAUUAAAGGUCUUGCCAGACGAGCUG
rnacentral:rRNA from 1 species